ACGCACUAUUUGAAGUAGUUGCCUAAUUCAAAAUUUGCUGACCUCCCCAAAAAGACAAAGCCUUCGUGCUUAUGUCAUCUCGGCAUCUGACUAGUGACUACCCCUUUUCCCCUGGGUGAAAGCAGAUCUCCUCCAAAGUUGUGAAAGUGUUGAAAGGUGGUUGUGCUAAAUCCAAAGUUAAGGACUGAAAGGAUCUGGCAGGUGGAUUGGCUAUUAAAGUGGGGAAGAUAAGAGAGGCAGAUGUGGAUAAUCUGUUCCACCUGUGUUAACUUUUCCUACCUGGGAAGUACACGCGACCACACGCUCACACUGGAGAAGUCAUUUCUAGGUAAAUCCCUCAGACAUGACUAACGAACUGAAGUAAACAAGCAUUGUUUAUAAGGCAUUCAUCACUAACCAAAAGACACACUCCUGCAGGCUGAAACCCAAUGCUUACUCAAGCCCUGGCGUCCCACGAGGCUUGCAACAUAGCGGCUAAUAAUUUAAGCAGUCAACGGUUUAAAAUGAUAAAGCCUUGUGACAAAACCGGUCACCAAGAUUGAGACAAAGUUUGCAACUGAGCCUGUAAGACUACAAAUCUGGCUCCCGGCACCUCAUGUGUCCUGUCCAGGCAUCCACAUUCACCAGCUAACAGAUGAGAGAUGGACAUCACUGAAAUGUGCAAGGGAGAGAAAUAAGGUCAGUAUAUAAGCCACGCGCUGACUGAUGUCCAAUGAAUUAUUGAGGGCCGACACUGCUAGCGGAGUCACCGAUCCUAUACGUUAAUGUUCUGUACAGCCAUAUGUGCAAUUACCGGACAAUUAUUCAAAUCCAUGGCAAAGGUACAAGACAAAUAUUCCCCAAAUGAAUAGAAAAUAAACCAUUAGGAACUCAGCAGCUUUCAUUGUUGCCGUCACAGUUAAGCUUAACUUUCCCUUCUAUCUGUGAAUUCCAUUUAAAUGAAUCUUAAUAACCAUUGAACUUCACUGCGACCCAAAGGGGUUUGAGAGAGCAGGGAAAACAAAGUCUAACUUUAGGCAAUUAUGAUUUGUGUACUGUACGUCCCACGUCAUACAUUACUGAUGGGAUAUGUUUCAAGAUUUUCGUCAAUUGCUGUGUGUAGCAUGUGGUAUUAUUUAUACACUGUUCAUAGUAAAAUUCCACAGAAGCUACCACUGCUGUGUAACAAAAGAAUGUCAAAGUAAUAGUCAGUGUAAUGGUCAUGUCUUCUGGCACGUAAUGUUGGUGGGUGUUUGAGCCAAAGAGAAGUACAGACAACAAAUUCCUCAUUUCUAUGAAUUAAUCACAUUUCUCUUGGUAGCCACCA